CUAAUGCUCCACUGCAACCUGGAGAGAAGGAGAUUUGCUUUUAGUCAAGACAGGGCGCGGCAGAACAGAAGAGCCUGUGGUGACGGCUGCUGCUCUGAGGAGUCUCCCGCUCAUCGAGCAGCAUCAGCACGAAGACUCCUCAAACACUCGUCCUCCGUUCCGUGGAGCUUUCUUCAGACUUUAUUGCAGCUGAAUGCAUCAGAUGAUCAAACCUCUAAGAGCACAAAGACAUCUGGAAGAACUUUAAAAGUGACUCAUUGUUGUUUGUCCUCAGAGUUUGACUGCAUUGGAUGUUAUAAAAAAAACUAAAAAGAAAUGACUGUGAGGCUAAACAGCAGACUGUCAUCUUUAAUAUGAAGCACCACAGGCAAAAGAAAUCAAACUCCCUUUGACAACAACACCUUUUUGUCCAGGAAGUAGAAUUAUUUGCUCCUGUCUCCGGUCAUACCAGGGGAAAAGGUGCUCAACCUGGCUAUCCUCGUAAACAUCAUUAUAAUUCCUAAAUCCGUCUGCCCUCUGCACACAUGUCACAUUACCCCUCUUCCUACAGGGCUCUGUCUCUGCAUUUACUGAAUUAUACUUACAAACUGUCACAGCCUUUCAACUGUUCUGCUAAUCAGCAGUGAAGCAAAAUCAUGACAAAACAUUUUCAAAUGAUGAAUGGCGUUGUGCCUGCAGCUCUGACUGCAUGCUCAGGAUUUAUUAAUUCAAUAGAAACGUUUUUUUUUUUUAAUAAAUGGCUGCAUUUGUUUGUAUGAGAUGGUCAAAAAAAAGAAGAAUUGAAUAGAAAUGAAAGAUGUGCACUGCUUUUUUUCCCACUGUCCGUUCAAUUAAACUCAAAGAUAAUGAUCUCCAAAGGGAUAUUAAACUCCUGCAGCACAAAAAUAAAUAUAUGAUAAUAACAACUGGCUUUGUAAAAAAUGUCCUUGGAAAAGUCAUAAUUGCUUUGGACAAGAAUGACCUCCUAUAACAAUCUGAAUGAGAUACAAGAUACCUUGAAACAUCAUUGAAUAGUUUUAUGAGUACAGCAGCCAUUUGUAAGGACUAGGAGCUUCAUCUCCAUUUAUGGUUACCCUGCUUUAUCAGUAUGUUCAAUUUUCUUCAGUAUACUGGGUUUUAAGCCGGGUUAAAAAAAAAAAAAAAAAAAA